rnacentral:rRNA from 1 species
UGCGCAGCAUAGGUGGGAGGCAAAGAAUAUAUAUUUGCGGAUGUAUAGGAGCCAUUAGUGAGAUACCACUCUGAUUAAACUAGAAUUCUAAUAUUGAUUGCCAUAAGCUGGCCAAUAAACAGUUUCAGGUGGGCAGUUUGACUGGGGCGGUCGCCUCCUAAAAGGUAACGGAGGCGUGCAAAGGUUUCCUCAGGCUGGUCGGAAAUCAGUCGUAGAGUAUAAAGGUAUAAGGAAGCUUGACUGCGAGACAUACAAGUCGAGCAGAGACGAAAGUCGGCCUUAGUGAUCCGACAGUACUG